rnacentral:rRNA from 1 species
UACGGAGGGUGCAAGCGUUGCUCGGAAUUAUUGGGCGUAAAGGGUAGGUAGGUGGUCUCAUUUGUCUAGGGUGAAAUCCUUGGGCUUAACCUAAGAAGUGCCUUAGAAACGGUGAGACUAGAGUCCUGGAGAGGGUCUGGAAUUCCACGUGUAGCAGUGAAAUGCGUAGAGAUGUGGAGGAAUACCGAUGGCGAAGGCAGCCCCCUGGGAUAACACUGACGCUCAUGCACGAAAGCGUGGGGAGCAAACAGG